rnacentral:lncRNA from 1 species
CCAUCGUCAACUCCCCUGUGGCCCGGGCUCCCCCUCCCUCCAGCCUCCCCGCAGGUCAGGUCUUCAAUCCUCCCAUCUGUACCAGGGUGUGGAGUGCAGACCCAGCCCAGUUGGUGACCUGACCAAGAUCCAUUCCUGCCACAGCUACUUUCUACCUGUGAGCUCCCCAAACUGGCCCCAGAUGUGAAGGCCCCGUCACUGGAAGGUCAUCCAUUCAUUCAAUGAACACGCACCGAGAGCUGCUGAGCACCAGCUCAGGGUCUGACAUGGGCCGACUCCAGGAGGAAUCACACGCUGGCCGCCCUCGAGGGGGCACAGCCUCCCUGGGGAGAACAUGCAAACACAGACAGAUAUCCUACAGCAGAGGAGGGGACAGUGGGGGACCACAGAAGGCUUCUCUGUGACCCCUGAGCUAUGGCUUAAAGAAUAAGGGCAGCUAACCUGGGAAGCAGGAGAGCUUGGAGCAGAAGGCCAGGGAGAAAAGGUACUCAGGCCCUGGGGAGGGCAACAGCAUAGGCAGAGAACCUACGAGAAUAUCCCCCAGAGAUGGCACCUUGUCUGUGGGGACAAGAGAGGCCAGUGUCCAUAGGUCCACCAGGGCCUUGGGAGCAGGGGUGGGCUGGGCAGGGGCUAGCAUAAGGCAGCUUCAGCACUGAGGAGGUAGAGAACAGAGCGGACACCACAGGAGUUUAGGCAAGAGGGAUACAUGGACAGGCAGAGCUGGAGACCACACCAGGAAUGGGGGUGGUUUGGGCCAGGGGCAGAUGACACAGAGAUAUGGGAGAUGGAGGGUUGGUACAGUGAAGACAGCAUGAGGGCAGAGCACAGGGCGCCUUGGCAUGAACGUGGAUGUGUGAUCUCAGCUAAGCCCCUGCCUCAGUUUCCCCGUCUGUACCAUGAAGGGCUCCCCCUCACUCAUGGACACUGGGAAUCCUGUGGUAAACAGGACAGCCUGGUUCCUGCCUCUGGGCUCACAGCCUAGGGGGAGGUGAGACAGGAAGAGAAUUAACUCCCUCAAGGAGUUAACCAAAGAAGGGGAGUUGAGGCACUAUGGAGGCUCGGCAGAAGCCGGGGCAUGCUCGGGUGCUCACUCUCAGUUGUCUUUGGGGAACCCCUGACCCCAUCAUCAUGCAUUGGGAACAGACACAUGCCUCCCUCUUGACGUAGGCCUGGCCAAUCAGCUUCCUUCAUCUCCAGGCCCAUGGUGAUUUUCCAGGACAGGCAUGUGGAUGUGGCUGACUCAAAGCUGGGGCUCCAGCUGAGGGGUCAGGGAAUGAGGUGCCUUGAGGAGCAGAAUGGGGGAGGCCUGGCUGGGCAUGGAGUUCACAUUCAGGCAAGAGGCCAAGUGACAGUAAUAACAUUUGAGCACCUGUAUCCAGCCAUACCUCAAGUUCACAGACCUGGAUUUUUAAACUACUUGUG